UACGUAGGGCGCAAGCGUUGUCCGGAAUUAUUGGGCGUAAAGAGCUCGUAGGCGGUUUGUCGCGUCUGCUGUGAAAACCUAAGGCUCAACCUUGGGCUUGCAGUGGGUACGGGCAGACUAGAGUGCGGUAGGGGUGACUGGAAUUCCUGGUGUAGCGGUGGAAUGCGCAGAUAUCAGGAGGAACACCGAUGGCGAAGGCAGGUCACUGGGCCGCAACUGACGCUGAGGAGCGAAAGCGUGGGGAGCAAACAGG
rnacentral:rRNA from 1 species